rnacentral:misc_RNA from 1 species
AAGUCGUAACAAGGUUUCCGUAGGUGAACCUGCGGAAGGAUCAUUAAUGAAGUCUGGGCUCCGGCCCUCUCUCUUCUACACACUUGUGAACUUACACUGUUGCUUUGGCAGGUCUCCGGAGGGGGUUCCAAACCCUCAAAGGUCAGGUCGAAAGACGCUUGCCAAAGACAUUUAUCCACCCUUUUUUGAAUUGUCUGAUUUUUGUUUUAAACAAACCAUAAAAAAG